AUAGAAUGCCAAUAAUUUAUCCACUGCAAGUGUAUAUUUUAUUCCUAAAUCAUAUGAAUGAACAGAAAAUUGAAGCAACCUAGCCUGGCACUAGAACCACAGUGGUGUAAUGCCAUGCCACAACACCUGCUUUUAAAACCACCUCAAUUUCAAUAUUACCCAACAAAAGAAGAAUAAAACUGUCAACCCCCAAAUCUAAGUUCUUGUUGCACAUUCAGACAAGUGCUCUACAGUGUCUACUAUAUCAUGGUGGCCCAGUUUAAAUUUUAAGACAACCUAAGUCUACAAAUAAUGGAAAAUUGUAGGAUAAGACAAUGAUGGGUAUGAACACAGUGUAAUACUCAACUUAACUCAACUAAGACUUUAUCCAAA
rnacentral:misc_RNA from 1 species